rnacentral:misc_RNA from 1 species
UACGGAGGGUGCAAGCGUUAAUCGGAAUUACUGGGCGUAAAGCGCGCGUAGGUGGCUUGAUAAGCCGGUUGUGAAAGCCCCGGGCUCAACCUGGGAACGGCAUCCGGAACUGUCAAGCUAGAGUGCAGGAGAGGAAGGUGGAAUUCCACGUGUAGCGGUGAAAUGCGUAGAGAUGUGGAGGAACACCAGUGGCGAAGGCGACUUUCUGGACUGAUACUGACACUGAGGUGCGAAAGCGUGGGUAGCAAACAGG